rnacentral:rRNA from 1 species
UACGUAGGGGGCAAGCGUUGUCCGGAAUUAUUGGGCGUAAAGAGCGCGUAGGCGGUCCGAUAAGUCCGCUGUGAAAGUCCAGGGCUCAACCCUGGAAGGCCGGUGGAAACUGUCGGGCUAGAGUCCGGAAGAGGCGAGUGGAAUUCCCGGUGUAGCGGUGAAAUGCGCAGAUAUCGGGAGGAACACCAAUGGCGAAGGCAGCUCGCUGGGACGGUACUGACGCUGAGACGCGAAAGCGUGGGGAGCAAACAGG